AUCUACAGCCGUGCCACCCUGAACGUGCCCGAUCCCGUCAGAUCUCGGAAGCUAAGCAGGGUCAGGCCUGGUGAGUACUUGGAUGGGAGACCACCUAAGAAGACUGGGUACUGUAGGCA
rnacentral:rRNA from 1 species